CCGUGUGUUAUGUAAUAUUACACUCACAAAUCAAUAAUGGAGAAAGUUGAGAUGGCAUUAAAAGGGGGCUGUGAAAGCCAACACAACACAAGAAUGAGAUUAGUGCCCAGUAAAUUUGUAGAUGGAUAUAUGGUUCAAUUGUCACCUGACAUGUUUCAGGGAGCAGACGAGGACAAUGUUGAACAUCAAUCUGAAGUCGAUCCACCUUCUCACAGCUGCAAGAAAGGCCAACAAGAAAGUGAUUCAUCGUCAUCCCAGAACCAAGAUGUUAAUCAUCAGGUAAAUUUUGUAAACCAAAUAAACAAGCAUUGAUGAGUGAAAAGUGUUUCUAUAUCAUUAAAUAUUGAGUCACUGACCAAACGAAAUGACGAAUUAGAGAUUGAAAAUGGUUUAUUGUACACACAAUCCAAGAAUUGAACAAAGAGAUUAAUGAUUCAAAACAAGAAUUGAGGCAAACCAAUGCUACUAGUAAAAGUAGCCAGGGGAAAAGAAAAAGGACGAGUAACGAGCUGCAAGUCAUGGUUCCUUUAUUAGCGGGUUCACAUAUAAAAAUCGAAAGAUCAGAAAUAGAUAAAGUGUUGGUCGUUGGAAGGGAAACGAAAGAUAAUUUUGAUUUAAUGAUCAACAAACUCUUGGAAUCCAUUUACUCUAAGACGCUUUGGGGAAGUCGGUCCUUGUCAGGUGGAUGCAAUAAAAAAUAAAAUAAUGGUGCUUCAAACACAGAGCUA